GAAAUCAAACUUCAUAGGAUCUUCUAUUGUAGUUUUUUUUCUAACGUUUUUGACAAAAGUCAAUCACACUAAAGCGGCGGGGAUUAGAUACAGCCUCCUUUCUUGAGCACGAAGAUGCGUUUUGAAUCCCUUUGUGGAUUGAUACGCUUGAUGACUGCCAGGUAAGCUCUUUUGCUCUCCGAUGGAGAGGACGCCUUCUGAGCCGU
rfam:Rhabditophanes sp. KR3021 genome assembly, scaffold: RSKR_scaffold0000013